rnacentral:rRNA from 1 species
UACGGAGGGUGCAAGCGUUGCUCGGAAUUACUGGGCGUAAAGCGCGUGUAGGCGGUUUCGUGUGUCUGGUGUGAAAGCCCCGGGCUCAACCCGGGAAGUGCACUGGAAACUGCGAGACUAGAGUCCCGGAGAGGAAGGUGGAAUUCCAGGUGUAGCGGUGAAAUGCGUAGAUAUCUGGAAGAACACCGGUGGCGAAGGCGGCCUUCUGGACGGUGACUGACGCUGAGACGCGAAAGCGUGGGGAGCAAACAGG